rnacentral:rRNA from 1 species
GGUGCAGUAGGGAAUCUUCCGCAAUGGACGAAAGUCUGACGGAGCAACGCCGCGUGAGUGAUGAAGGUUUUCGGAUCGUAAAACUCUGUUGUCAGGGAAGAACAAGUGCCGUUCAAAUAGGGCGGCACCUUGACGGUACCUGACCAGAAAGCCCCGGCUAACUACGUGCCAGCAGCCGCGGUAAUACGUAGGGGGCAAGCGUUGUCCGGAAUUAUUGGGCGUAAAGCGCGCGCAGGCGGUCCUUUAAGUCUGAUGUGAAAGCCCACGGCUUAACCGUGGAGGGCCAUUGGAAACUGGAGGACUUGAGUACAGAAGAGGAGAGUGGAAUUCCACGUGUAGCGGUGAAAUGCGUAGAGAUGUGGAGGAACACCAGUGGCGAAGGCGACUCUCUGGUCUGUAACUGACGCUGAGGUGCGAAAGCGUGGGGAGCGAACAGGAUUAGAUACCCUGGUAGUCCACGCCGUAAACGAUGAGUGCUAGGUGUUAGGGGGUUUCCGCCCCUUAGUGCUGAAGUUAACGCAUUAAGCACUCCGCCUGGGGAGACCCA